rnacentral:lncRNA from 1 species
ACCCGCCAGCCCCGCGCUCUACCAGGCAGAGCGCGUGUGGCCGCCGAGCACAUGGACCCACUGGUCAAGCGGGCUCGGCAAGGCCAGGAUGAAGAGAAGCUACGAACUUAGCAUUCCCAGAGCCCCCCGAGUGGAUAUCCGCGUGGAAAGGAUGUUGGCAGCCCCGGUGACCUCGGAGUCACGGCUGGAUCCACCCUCUUGUCUGAUUUUCUUAACUCUACUACGGUAAGAAGAUGCCCUCCAUCAGCAGGCCGUGUCUGCUGGGACCUCUCUGGAGACUUCCUGAACCCUGUGGAUUUACAGUAAGAUGCAGUUUCCUGGGGAGUAAUUCUGGUGGAUACAAAUUCCGGAGUAUUACACCUGGCUUGCCUGGAGAUGUUACAAGUAGCUGGAUGGAUUCUUCAGCCUGGAUGCCCACUGAAAACAAGGACCGAAACUAAGAGGAUUGUAUCUCUACCCUUGACUCAAUGAGAAUGUUUGUUGUCAUCUCUCGGGCUACCUGGAGCUCCCUCUAAAAUGUAAGCCCCUAAGACCCAUCUCCUUUCAAUGCAGUGUUUCUGUAUACCCUUUAAGCGUUCCAGAAGGAUUUUGAGAUCCUUUCCUAAAUCAAAGGUGGAAUAUUUGGGGAUUUGGAAAAUUGAGAUGUGAAGCGUUGACUUAAGAGAUGCCAAGUAACUCAGCAGAUGUCACACAGACGAUAAAUAGCAAAGAUGGAAGUCUUCAUGCCGGAGGCAAUCCUAUAAGACAGCUGAGUUCUGCAGAGCUGGUAGGAGACAGACUUGCUCAGGUGAUAGAUCCAGCCAUGAUACUGACCCUAAGAGAAUGAGACGCUCUGCAGAAGACAGAAGAUUCCUGAAACUGGGAAAGGUGCCUAGAAAUCCUGAUAAGAGUGAAGAAGGGUACCUGGAGGCACAGCAGCCAUGUUGAACCUAUGAGGUGAUGAAAAACCAUGCAACUAGAAACCAGAAUGGAAGAAAAGAAGAAGCUGGAUCCUUGACUGAAUUGUCGAUGGGGGAUAGUCCAUCAUCCCAGGGCUAAGACCACCUCCAGAUUUCUUGUUUGGUGAAACAAGUCCUGAUUGUUUACAUUCCCUCGUGUUGAGCUGUCUCUUGCUUGUAGCUGAAAGCAUUUCUAAUAGAUAUUCAGAUUAUCAGCCUUAGCUCCAAGCUAGAAUACUCUAUGGGACCUUAGCUUCUCCAUGAAUUCCUUUGCUCAUCUGUGUAAUGCUCAAUAAAUGUAAAUUGAACCCUGAAUGAGGGACAAUGACA